GGAACUUGGAGCUCUUAUGUCUUCUGCACUGGCAGCCGGGUUCUUUACUACCAGUGCCACCCGGGAAGCAGGCACUAAAGAUGUGACUGCAGUGACAUAAAAGAAUAGUUUGGCUCACCCUCCUGCCCUGGCACCCUUGAAGCAUAGUCUCCUUCAUGGGCCCUAUUUAAGAGAGCUGAUGCCUGCCUUCAGCUUGCCUGCUCCGACCUUCAUCUGUAAGAUGGACCCCAACUCUAAAUCCUCAACCCCACUGCAUGUGUGCUUAGGUGCACGGCCGCACUAACACGGGACAAGCUGGCCGCUCCCUCCGUCCUGGACCUGCAUCACUUCUACUAGUUUCCCAGUAGUCUGUGCGGUUCUUCAGCAUGACAUCGCC
ensembl:lncRNA